rnacentral:rRNA from 1 species
UACGUAGGGCGCGAGCGUUAAUCGGAAUUACUGGGCGUAAAGCGUGCGCAGGCGGUUCGUUGUGUCGGUGGUGAAAUCCCCGGGCUUAACCUGGGAAUGGCCAUGGAAACUGGCGAACUGGAGUGUGGCAGAGGGGGGUGGAAUUCCGCGUGUAGCAGUGAAAUGCGUAGAGAUGCGGAGGAACACCGAUGGCGAAGGCAGCCCCCUGGGCUAACACUGACGCUCAGGCACGAAAGCGUGGGGAGCAAACAGG